CAGCGCGUCGAGCAGAUUGUCGAGCGCGAGGAUAUUGCCGCUAUCCUCAAACACGCCCUGGGGCGCGGCCGCGCGCACCGC
rnacentral:tRNA from 1 species